UUUCAGCAAUAUCUCACAAUUCUAUAUCCUAAUUCUGAUUUAUUAACGUGUAUGUUUGCCUUUCAGUGCUAACGUGGAAUCCCCUUGUUUUAACCAAAUGUCGCCAACCAUCCAAAUCAUCAUCCUCACCAAGUCAGAUCACUUUGUAUUCGGUGUAUUCAGAGAUGAUGCAAUAGACAAGUUGCGUUUUUAUUAUUACAAAACUAAUUUAGAUUUUAUUUUAAAAAAUUGCUCUGCGCUUCAUCUCAAAAAAGCCAAUUUUAUAUACUUAACAACUUGAUAAUGAGGUCUAAAAUCCUGCUGGCAUCUCUUUUUCUCCUCUUUGUGGCCAUCCGUCCUUCUGAAUGUGUGAAGAAGAGAAGCAAGAUCCAAAGAGUGAAGAAGUUUGACCCAGCUGAGAGAAUUGUGGAGCUGAAGGAAGACCGCAUGUUCAAAGCAGAGACUCUAAAAGCGCCUCUAGUGGUGGCCUAUUUCUACACGACCAAAUGUCUCGGCU